rnacentral:rRNA from 1 species
AUUGAACGCUGGCGGCAGGCCUAACACAUGCAAGUCGAACGAGUGGCGGACGGGUGAGUAAUGUCUGGGAAACUGCCUGAUGGAGGGGGAUAACUACUGGAAACGGUAGCUAAUACCGCAUACCAUCAGAUGUGCCCAGAUGGGAUUAUCUUGUUGGUGGGGUAACGGCUCACCCAGGCGACGAUCCCUAGCUGGUCUGAGCGGAUGAAAAGCAACACUGGAACUGAGACACGGCCCAGACUCUUACGAGAGUCAGCAGGGGGGAAUAGUUCACAAUGGGCGCAAGCCGGAUGCAGCCAUGCCGCGUGUAUGAAGGAGGCCUUAGGGUUGUAAAGUACUUUCAGCGGGGAGGCGUUACCCGCAGAAGAAGCACCGGCUAAAUCCGUGCCAGCCGCCGCGUUAAUAC